UCUCAAAAAAAAAAAAAAUAAAAACCAUAAUCAUUAAAUUAUAUUUAAAAAGAAAAGAAAAAAGCUAUACACACAGUAGAUGAUUGAUGGACAAGAGGUUUAUUGAUUGAUUGAUCAUCUGGAGAGCUGGUGUGGGGAGAAGAAUCACAUGUCUGUGCUUAGACAAGUUUGGAUGAGGUAGAGCAAGGAAGGAACUUCUCUUAAGGGCAGGGAAAAGUCUACAGCCUCACCCUGACACAGCCUUGGCCAAGCCUCCCCUACAUCCCUCCCAUCCAUAGACCAAAGCCCUGCAGGCUCAGAGCCCACCGAGCCAUCUUAGAGAGGCUCUAAGUCAGGGCUUACAGAUGUCAGGGCUCCCCUUCUAGUCUCUUGCUGGCACCUGAUGCCUUUCCUCCACAGAAGGCCACCUCCCCCCUGCCUCUCUCAUUCCAUCUCUAACUCCAUCCUCAGCCCAUUCUCCCACCUAGACACAGCUGGGUGCCAGUUCCUUGCAGGCCCUCCUGGCUGCCUCUCUCUGAGGAAACAAAACCAAGCCAAGCAUCCCACCCAAACCUCAAAACCAGGCUUGGUUUGUUAUUGGUCCCAAUCAGAUGCAAUCCAGGAGGUGUGGGAUAGGAGUGGGAGGGGUAGAGGGGGAGCAGAGGCCACCCAGGAGUGUGCAGAGCCCAGACUGAAGCCCUAAGGCUCUUUCAUCCUCCCUGGCUGCGAAGGGCUGGUCUUUGGCAGAGAUGCCUCUGUGCCCUCUGUCUUCCGGGGACGCUCUCACACCUACCGCUUUGGCUGGGACUAUAAGAUGGGCAGCUGUUGAGGCCCACUAGGGGUGCUGUGGGGCAGAUGGUCUUUGUUUAUUACCAUGGAUGGCUGACCUUUGCUGGCUUACCACGGGGAAUCCGGGAGAAUCUCUGCAUUGGCAGACAGCAUCUCAACAUAUCAUUUUGAGAUAAGAAUCAUUUCUGUUUGAUUUCAUGACCCUAAUUUAUUUUGGACUGUCUUUUUUUCACACAAAGAAUUAAAGUGUCUGUAACUUCAUAAAGACUGGCGUGUUUAUGACAAAAAGCAAAGAAUAAAGGUGUGAACUUUCCAGGUCAUUCAUCACUAGGCAAAGUCUCAAAUAUGAAGCCUGCCACACCAAGUACCCUCUACACUUACAUUCUUUCUGUUCCUUUUGGACGAUGUAUUUGAACAGUAAAAAAAAGGAACAAGAAUGUGGUGAUUUGGAUACUUUUUAGAGGCAUGGCUUUCUGUGUUUAAGCUGUUGUAGCUCUUUGUGGUCACUGUGAUUUCAGAAUACAGGACAGUCAGGCCAGUGAAUCCAACUCUUCUGUGUGGACUUCUGUGCACAGGAUGAAAGGCACCUACCUCUUGCUUCUGAGAGACUUCCCUGCCUACUUUCUGGCCCAACGAGGCAAUCUCUUCAGAGUCAGGAGAAGGAGUGAGGCUGAUCUUGAACUCCUAGUUUUGAGAGAUCUUCCUGCUCUGUCUGGCCUCCCAAUGUUCUAGGAUUACAGGUGUGUGAGCCAUGGUGCACAGCCGCCCAGGUGUUUUUGGUGGAGGUGGCUCAAGUCCCCACCAGAGACACACUGGUUUAGAGCCUGCUCAGGAGGAACAAAGACGUUGAAGCUGCAGCAGAGACAGAGUCUUGCUAUAUUGCCCCGGCUGGUCUGAAA
rnacentral:lncRNA from 1 species